UUAGGAAUAUUGGACAAUGGGCGAAAGCCUGAUCCAGCCAUGCCGCGUGAGUGAUGAAGGCCCUAGGGUUGUAAAGCUCUUUCACCGGUGAAGAUAAUGACGGUAACCGGAGAAGAAGCCCCGGCCAACUUCGUGCCAGCAGCCGCGGUAAUACGAAGGGGGCUAGCGUUGUUCGGAAUCACUGGGCGUAAAGCGCACGUAGGCGGAUACUUAAGUCAGGGGUGAAAUCCCGGGGCUUAACCCCGGAACUGCCUUUGAUACUGGGUGUCUAGAGUCCGGAAGAGGUGAGUGCAAUUCCGAGUGUAGAGGUGAAAUUCGUAGAUAUUCGGAGGAACACCAGUGGCGAAGGCGGCUCACUGGUCCGGUACUGACGCUGAGGUGCGAAAGCGUGGGGAGCAAACA
rnacentral:rRNA from 1 species